AAAGCACCAGGCUCCAAGAAAGUCCUUAUCCAAACUAAGCGAAGGGUAUGGAGUUUUUAUAAGAAAUGGAUAAUAUUUCUAGAAGUUUGAGAAAUAACUGUUUGUUUCCCUUAUUCUGUUAUUUAGGGAUAUAUGGUCACUAGUAACAGUGAAGUUGUUCAACUUUAGUUGAAAAUAAUGAACUCAGAGGUAAAUCAAGUGCUAGUCAAAGACAGCACAGCACCAGACCUAGUCAGUCCCAAAUAUUAAAAAGAAAAAAAAAUACAUUUUAAUAUCCGUCAUGACAGCAGUUAUUACCUCCUUGUCCACACCCCAAGUGCCACAGAAAAGUUACCCACAUCCAUUAACCUCUCAAUGGAUCAGUCAGAUAUCUAACUUUGGAGGACCAAUCCACAGGCUCAUAAGCUAAGAAGGCUAUGCCAUCAGUUUGCCUUGACCAAAAGAUAUAAAAUCUCUAUCUCUAUGAUGCUAGCCACUGAAACUGAAAGAUCAAGUAGCAAGCAGCACCUUAACUGGGGUGGCCAUUUAUAGCCCUGUGUACUCUACACUAUUAGGCCAAGAAAGCAAGUCUAUGAACUGAAUAAUAAUGGAUCACAGACACAGAGACAUAUAGUGAAGAAAGGCUAAGCAGCUUCCUGAGAAGUGGAAGGAGUAGCCUUAGUUCCUGGCUUUCUAAUUUUAGCCUUGAGAGAGCAGAAACUUUAUUUUCUGUACUCACAUGCCUGCACAAUUGCCUAUUAAAUAUUCU
rnacentral:lncRNA from 1 species